rnacentral:rRNA from 1 species
GACGAACGCUGGCGGCGUGCUUAACACAUGCAAGUCGAACGAUGAACCCGGAGCUUGCUCCGGUGGAUUAGUGGCGAACGGGUGAGUAACACGUGAGUAACCUGCCCUUGACUCUGGGAUAACUGCGGGAAACUGUAGCUAAUACCGGAUACGACCCUCGGCGGCAUCGCCAGGGGGUGGAAAGAAUUUCGGUCAAGGAUGGACUCGCGGCCGAUCAGCUAGUGGGUGAGGUAACGGCUUACCAAGGCGACGACGGGUAGCCGGCCUGAGAGGGUGACCGGCCGCACUGGGACUGAGACACGGCCCAGACUCCUACGGAAGGCAGCAGUGGGGAAUACUGCACAAUGGGCGCAAGCCUGAUGCAGCAACGCCGCGUGAGGGAUGACGGCCUUCGGGUUGUAAACCUCUUUUAGUAGGGAAGAAGCGAAAGUGACGGUACCUGCAGAAAAAGCACCGGCUAACUACGUGCCAGCCGCCGCCGUAA